GGGAGACGUUUGAGACCGAGCGUCUCUAGAUCUCGUAUUUGAAUUUGUGGCGCUUGGUGUCCGCGAGUUGCCGAAUGAAGCUGAGCGUCUCAGUGGAACCAGGGAUCUCAGGGAGACAGGGUCUGGCUUUGUUGCCCUGGUCUUGAACUCCUGGCUUCAAGUGAUUUUCCUGCCUCAGCCUCCUGAAGUGCUGGAAUUACAGGCAUGAGCUGCCACACCUGCGCCUGCCCCUGGCUCAGCGCCCGGUGCCAACAGAACACCUUUCAGGAUCCACAGCAACGCAGACAACGUAAGUACCAGCCGUUCCCUGAAACCCUUUUGCAGAUUUUUUAAAAACACCCACCUAAAACAGAGAGAGAGAGAGACAAGCCUCUUUCCCCUUCUUCUCCCCUGCGUUAUGCCACCAGUGUUUCCUCAGUAGCCCCUUCCAAAUCCCUCUGCCUUCAAGUUUGUGCAUGUCUGUGUGGCAUCCCUCCUCCUCCUUCACUCCCAUAGUGGAUCUUGUAAAAGGGCUUCAGAUCGGCCCCAUUCAUCUCCCUGGUGAUAGCAGUGAAUGUAGAUAAAUCUCUGGCUGCCUGCUUGCUGCUGGAGUAUGAUUUUUAUUUUGUCUUCUGUGUAUACCUGGGUCAAAAAGUGGGAUGUAUGCAUACACAUACAUGCACAUACACAUAUUUCCUUCUCUCUCCUCUCUCUCCUUCCUUUUUCUCACACAUGCAUACAUCCUACAUAUGUGUGUAUAUGCAUAAACAUAUACACCUAUAUACAUACCCAUACCUGUAGCACAAAAUAUAUACAUAUCUAAACGUUUGUCUGAAAAUAUGCAUAUUUAUAUACACAUACAACCUUACACAUGUGUUUAUACGCAAUCGAUAGGUGCCUAUCUUUUAAUUUAUACCCAUCUAUAUCUCCAUUUAAAUAUUCCCUCUCUUCUCCCAGCAGAGGCUGUGUGCAAUUGCAAUCCAGGAUUAUACAAGCAGUAUUCUUUCCUUAUGAUUUCUAGUUGUAGACCUUUAUCCUCCUUUCUCUGCCUUCCUCGCAGCUGUAGAAUUGGCAUCUUUCCCUGAGGUUUUCCGAGUGGCAAGUGGCACCGGCUGUGGCAUGUAUUCAUGCCGCUUCCUAUGGCAUUUCUCUUCCGAUGUCUGCUUUUUCUUUGUUUGUUGUUGACUAGGCUGAAUGGUGGGGUUUUUUUUAAGUUAAUUAUAAACGAAGUUGAAAUAGCAAACAAGCCAACAGCUUGCCCCCCCCCCCACCAAAAGAAAAAUUAGCCCCACACAAGCGCCUUCUGCUGCAACAGAUGCCCAGAUCACCCCUGGCACGGGCAAACGGGCAAACGAUUUUGGUGGUUUUCAGUUUUUUCUGUUUGUUGCUGUAUUUGUUGUUUGUUUUCCUUGUUUCUUUUUGAUUUUUCGAGGAGUCCAGAAUCCCGGCCUCUGCUUGGAACGGAACAGUGUCAUGGCGGAGACGACGGCCUUUGUCUUGCUGGGUGUGAAAACAUCCGCUGUGCUGGCUCCACUGCGGCAGAAUCAAGUUUAAAGGAAAAAAAGUGAUUAAAGUCAGCUUUGUGCCUCUGUGGUGUGGAAGACCCCCAAACCCCAAGUAGCCGAAUCCCAGGGUCCGAGGAAGGGCUCAUAGUUGGAGCAGCCUAGGCUGUAAUCCUGGCACUUGCGCCUUCGGUUGCUGCUUGCUGUUCGCUCCUGGGGGUCUGGAUAAUCUCCCUUGGCUUUACCGCACUGUCUGGCCCGCAUACAGGGCCCCGUAUCAUAUACCCGCUGCUGCUAUCACACGAAACUGUGGCGUUGCCCCUGAAUGGAUGGCACCGUGCCAACUCUUCUGCCAUCCGCCCUUGCAGCUUUUUUCUUUUCUCCCUCCCUCCCCUUCUUCUUCUCCUCCUCCCGUCGACUUGACGUUAAUUAACACUCGGGUUAAUUGAUUUUAAAAGCCGAAGAAUUACAGUUAACUUUUCCCACAGGGUACAGACGCCAGCCGCUUGGCACACUCUGCUUUUCGCACUGGUGCAGGGGAACAGGGAAAGCCCGCAGCAAAGCUAGCAACUGCUGAGGGAGCGUUGCCUGCUUAUUGGAGUAGAGCCGAUAGAAGUCGACGUGGCAUUGCCUCAUCCUUUACAAUAUAUGUAGCCAUUAUAUAUUUUGUUAAAUAAUCAAAACACCACCCUGUUUUUCUUCUUCUCCGUUCCUCU
rnacentral:lncRNA from 1 species